GCUCGGUUACCAAGGAGACAGCGCUCCGCGCCUAACCCGGCGCUGCCCUGCUUCCCUUGCUCAGCGCGCUGGAGAGGUCUAAGCUUCUGCUCCAAACCCAGGCCUGCUUUCCGGUCUCGAAACUCGCAGAAACGUCUGGGCCAGCGUCCGGCUAGGAAGUUUCAUGGCUGCGUCGGGGCCGCCUGUCCCGGAUGAAGCUGCAGUUCCCCAACGGGAGCUCUACAUAUCGGACUUCCAAUCCCGCACUCCAGAACAUGGGCCUGGGCGAGCUCAUGGUGGCUGCUAAGAUGAAGAGAUGAGACGUGGGGCUCCCAGAGCAGCCCCAGUGGGCUCACUCGAGCUGCCCCAGAGAGCCCUAAGCGGCCUGACCGAGCGCCCUUUUGCGUGCAGAAGGCAAGGGACGGCUGCAAGUGGAGGUGACCCGAUGACUACCCCACCCUCUAAAAGCAGCGGAGAGGCCAAGGUCGAGUCAGUAGCACAGGGAGUGCGGAGAAGCACGGGCAAAGGCUCUGUGACCUAGGGGAACUCUUUGGACCACACCCUCAGGGUCCUUGGAAGCAGAAAGGACCAGCUUGAGGCUAGGUUAUAGCAAGUUUUUCGGGGAACGGGGGUGAGGAACAGGGUAAAAGCUACUUCUGAGAUCUGUGUUUCUCAGUUACACUUUGGGGCUGUGACAUGGACUGGCUUGGGCAACUUUUGUGGUCCCCAGUAAUCUCUAUUGACCUCACUUGAAUCUAAGCAGAAAGUGUACGUGAUACGCAAACACAGCUUCAGGGAAAGUUUCCCAGGCCACUUCUUUCUGAAGUCCAUGGCUCCUUAGCCCCUGCCACAGAAGUUUCACACGUAGUCUCAUCUACUUUGUUCACCAGAUCUGACACUGGGACAUCUCUGGCUCUUCCCUAAAGUCACAAUGACCAUAGCAGAGUUGUUGGCUGUCGUCUUGCAGCCUGGGCCGAGUCCAGUCCCUAGCACCCAGCCUCCUGGACUUUGGGAAUGUUUUGGGAGUGUUCCAAGGCUGGCAAAGGAACGAGUCCUAAUGCUGCAAUGUGCUAUGCGGUGAUGGCCUUCAGCAUCCCCUUCAUACAGGCACUUGGGAAGAUGCCGUGAUUCAAUUGCCAGAGGUUUCAGUGUGAACAGGCCUUAUUUGCAGAAAAUAAUGGAAAGAAUGGGUGACUCUUCUAUCUCUGAAUAUUGAGUGAGGUAAAUUUCCAGAUGCUGUUCUCUAUUUUUAUGUUAUUGGACCAAUGCUCUGUAUAAAUAAUUCAGAUGUAAGCAUUUCACAUCAAAAGAAUUCAUUAGUCUUUAACAAUUAACCUCAGUACUGUCACUACAAUAUUACAUUCUGCAGAUGUCAUUGUGUUGUAUCAGAUACCAAAAGUAAGGUAUCUUCAUGUCACAUAGUGAAAA